rnacentral:lncRNA from 1 species
AUGCUUCAAGAAGUGUUUUACAUGAAUUCUUACACCCAGCGCACCCUGGAUUCCUCCCUGAAAUACAUUAAAAGCUGCUUCUUGACAAAAGGAUAUAGAGUGCUUCUUGGUCGGCUUGCAAAAAUGAGCACGGGCUACUUUGCUGUCAGCGUUAGCACUGACCUGUCUCCGACAUCAGCCAAGAGUGAACAGCAGCAACAUACCGAGUCAGAGAAGUCAGCAAAGCCAAAAAUCAGAGAAGAUGAUUUCAAGCUUGGGUUGGAACAGAAGAGAGAGAGCAAGAGUGAAAGCAGAAUUCUGAAUCCAGAAGCCACAAAAAUGAAGAUCUUUACUUUUCCUCAGCAUGCCUUAUCAAUCUGUAGAGAACAUGAAAGGUUUUUAUAUUUGCAAGACCCAGGGAAUUAUCUGGAGGUGAACUGGUAUCUCUAUUUAAUUCCCUUUGGUCAUGGUCAAUGUCAUCCAGUAGAAAUCAGAAGAAAUAAGUUAUUAGAAACAAGGCAUGUGGUAAUGAAAGUAAAAACCUAUCGUACUGGCAUCAGACUACUGAUCAUUGCAAUGAACUCUAUUAUCUUUACAAAUUGGGUUUCUCACCUGAUCAAUGAUAAUGUAAGAAAUGUGUACUUCUGA